AUUGAACGCUGGCGGCAUGCCUUACACAUGCAAGUCGAACGGCAGCACGGGGCAACCUGGUGGCGAGUGGCGAACGGGUGAGUGAUGCAUCGGAACGUGCCAUUGAGUGGGGGAUAACGUAGCGAAAGUUGCGCUAAUACCGCAUAUUCUGUGAGCAGGAAAGCAGGGGACCGCAAGGCCUUGCGCUCUUUGAGCGGCCGAUGUCAGAUUAGCUAGUUGGUGAGGUAACGGCUUACCAAGGCGACGAUCUGUAGCGGGUCUGAGAGGAUGAUCCGCCACACUGGAACUGAGACACGGUCCAGACUCCUACGGGAGGCAGCAGUGGGGAAUUUUGGACAAUGGGCGCAAGCCUGAUCCAGCCAUGCCGCGUGAGUGAAGAAGGCCUCGGUUGU
rnacentral:rRNA from 1 species